rnacentral:misc_RNA from 1 species
UCUUCUCAACCCCUCGCAUUUGUUUGCUUGCGGGUUGGAUUUGGGGGUUGCAGGCUUCUGACGAGGUCGGCUCCCCUUGAAUGCAUUAGUGGGCAUCUGGCUCGCGUUGCUGGUGUGAUAGUCUCUUCAUCAUCGGCGGCGCCUGUCUAAUGGGUCUGCUUUCGAACCGUCUUCUCAAUGGAGACAACGUCCAGUCGAGCGAUCGACAUAGACAUCU